AAGAGUGUUGUUGGAGUUUUAUGUGUUGGUGUUGAUGGUGACGGGAUGAACAAGUUUUUAUCAGGUUUAAGCAAAAAGGGAACAACACAAACUUUUUCUUGAAGAUUUGGCACCGUCAACACCAUCACCGAAAAUCAACAAACCGCUUUUUGAGUUUCUGGAAAGAAGUAAAGCUGAAAAAGUACGAAGUAACCGAAACCCAACAAAAAAUGCUACGCUCAUUUUAAGAGAAUAUUUUGAUACAAGAAAUAUAGACUCAAGCUCUGAUGCCUUGGAAUUUUGGAAGAUGCGUGAUACUAGCGACAUAACUUUUCAAUUCUUGGCCAAAAAGUAUCUGUGCAUUCCAGCAACAUCCACAGAAAGCGAACGUAUGUUUAGUAAGGCUGGAUAUAUUUUAAGUGAGAAACGCAGCGCUUUAGAUGCAAAGCAUGUCGACAUGCUCACUUUUCUAAAUAGAAACGAAUGGAUCUCCAAUAUAUAGUUUAAGCCAGAUAUUGAU